rnacentral:lncRNA from 1 species
UUUCUUUUUGGUUGUUGAAGGCAAAUUUAUAUGCUAAUUUUGUUUUAGGUUAUCAUAGUUGGUGGAUUUUAUCUUUUGUUUGCUUGGGUAAUGGUUAAUUUCUUUAUGUUUUGUUUUGAUAGGAAGAAUGUUUGUUUUGGUAGUAAUAUGUUUUAUUUUUCCUUGUUUAAAAAGAGAUAUAGUAUGAAAUAUAAAUAAUUAGUGAUAAAAUAUAAUAUUUUGGUUCGAUUUACAGGUGAUUUGUUUUAAAUGUUCUGAAACCGAUAUUCAAACAAUAGUGAUCAAAUUUGAUUAGUGUGUGUGGUUCAGGUUAUACAUACAUGAGCAUAAAAAAACACCAAUUUAGUUUAUUUGCAUUGAAUGUUUGCAUUCUACGAGUUAUUGGUUUGAUUCUUACACCUCAUCAUAAACAAUAUAGCAUAUAAUAUUUAUUUAUUUUCCUCUUUGUAUUAAAGGGUAUACAAAACAUUUUUCAAAUGAGAUAACAAGAUUUUAGUUUUCAAAUGAAUGGUUGAUUCCAUAUUUACAAGGAAGUGAGAAGAAUUCACAGAACACUUGGAUAGGUCAUUUUCUUUCCAAAAAAAAAAAAAACUAGGAUAGGACGUUUGGUGCCCCCAUUCAAUUAAUUCAUUUCUAAAAUCGACAUUGUUUUUUGGUGAGAUUCGCAAGUGGCACGCCACGUAAUUGUACAAGUUCCACAUGCAUUUGACUUUAGCAAACAUUAUCAAUCUUGGAUUAGAUCACGUGUUUGUUCUCAUUAGUUUGAUACUCCAUAAUUUAGAAUCUGUUUCUGUGGUGCAGUAUCUGUUUAGGAGGAAAUGAAUUAAGUGAAAAUCUCUCUUUAAGAUGUAAUAAUAAUUGAGAAAAACUGAAAUUGUUUCAAUUGAGAUUCAUUUCUAAAAUAUGUUUUUAAUCAAUAUAAAAAUACGAGAUUUCAAUUUUAGUCCUGCAUAAUUUUAAUAGUAAUUUUAAUCCGUACGAAAUGAUUGUUAAGAGGUGACAACUAGGGUACCAUGAAAAAAUGGUGGGUAAUUUAUUCUAACCAAUAAAUAUUCACUUUUUAAAGUGGUAUCCAUAAACUAUCUUGACCCCACCAAUAAAUUGCUCAUUAUGAUUGGUUGGUGGAUAAAUUACCCACCAUUUUUCAAAGGUAAUCUAGAAAAAACCUUGUUAAGAUAAUUGGUCCUUCAUGUCAAAUGGGUUGCUAAUUGAGCUAAACGAAUCAUGACUAGAUACGUCAUACGAUCAUUUUGAUUGACGUACGUUGCUGACUCGUGGUUGUGAGAAAAACAUCAAAGGAGGUUGAAUUGUGUAGUAUUUCUUAAGAAUUUUUUUUAAGUUAAAAACCAUUCAUAGAAUUUUUACUAUAAAAAAAAAAAAUCAAUCAUAGAAUGCAAAAGAUGAUCAGAGAUAAGAGAAAAGAAUGACACAUAUUUUUCCUAGUUCAUCCCACAAUUUGGGAUUACGUUAUGUCCCUUCACACAAGAGAGAUUUUUUUUUCUCACUAUAAUCACAUAAGAUUGCAAUUACUUGGACACACAAAUACAUAUCAACUAAACUCUCUUGUAAGGACUUGAAUCGAGUCCUAGAUUGCUCUUCAAGUCCAUUUGUUUCUGUUUUUGUACGAACAAUGAGGAUUUACCGCAAAAUCAGGGAGUGUUACUCAUUUGUGGUUGGUCAUACACUCCUUCUUCUGCACCUUCUUUAAUAUGCAGGGGAGGGGGUGCUUCCGUAAGAUACUUUGAUGCUCAAGUCAGACGAGGUACAAACAAAGAGCAUACAUAUAUUGUAUAUGAGUAUGAGUGUGAUAAAAUUGGAAUGAUAUGAAGUUCAUCGUACCAAGGGAAGGUGCCCCCUAUUUAUAAUGGUUGAUAUGAUGACAGACUCCUUGUUGGUUGCAAUCUAAUUUCCUUAUCUUCAAGAUGGUUUGUUACGAGGCUAAUUUGGAUAUCAUAGUAACGAACUUUCCAGAAUCUUGUAAUUACGAGUGACACAUGUAUAUCCGAGUGUAACAUAAUCCGAGGUAGAUGUGCUCAUCUAUGCAGUUUAGAUAAGGUACGAAUAUAUAGGAUCGAUCUCGUAGCUAACUAAAUGUUUGUUAUGCUUAGAGGAACUAGAGCGUGUAGGCGCUUAUGUCGAUCUACCAAGUGGCUUUUUUUUAUCUUGUGGAGGUGUUGAUGUGUAUCAGACAUCAUUCCGAGGUGUUAGUUAUGACAAGGUGGUAUAAGAGAUUAGUCAUAUUUUAUGCCACAUGUCACAUUUAGGUGGUAAUCUUGAUGUUCUUUGACUUGGUCCAUUUGUUAGAUCUUCCUAUGUUAUUCCUGAAGAGCUAAUUUGCUUGGACUCCUUAAUGAAUGACUAGCCUGGCCUAAUUUGCUUGAAUUCCUUAAUGAAUGACUAGCUUGGACCUUUUAGGCCCAUACUGGUAGAUUAUCCCCCUAGCCCUUGGUCAUGCAGUGGACAAUUGGUCUAAGAGUAUUGAAGUGAAAAUUUUUGAAUUUUACCCGAUGUAGAUAUAUUUGAUUUUUUUUAUGAUACGAUUUUAGUUUAAACCCGAUUUAGAACUCGAUUUACAGAUGGUAUACCCCCUGACUUGCAACUUAGAGGUGAGGUGAAAGUCUAAAGGAUUUUUCAUAUGAUACUCAAUGGUUUGUUUUGCUUCAUUUCUUGAGCAUUAUGACAUGUAUUCGUAGCACGACGUGACAAUGAGACAAUUGCUUUUUUAGGGGUGCAAUUUGAUAUGUUAGAUUUGUUAAUGGAAAGUUGUAUCGUUUGAUCGUACGUGAUGAAACAUUUUCAAUCAUUGAUGAACGGUUCCAUCCAAUUUGAAUACUUGCUACUUUCUCCCCCACCACCACCACAACUUGAUUUAAGUCAUGAAGUGCUUUUGCGACUCAUAUUUCCUUAUGUUUCAAAUUUUUCAUUCAUCCCUCCUGCUAAGCUCCGUUCUUGCUUUCUCUUUAUGUUUAAACAAUGUUUGUACAAAAGCGCUUUGAUUGAUGCACUCUUCUUUGAGAAUUGGAAUGAAUUUUUGUCUGAUCCUAAUGGGUGGCACCGUUAGAGUGUUUAAGGAGAGGUUACUGUUUUGUUUUUGUUUUUUGCUAAUUAGUUAUCAACAAAAAAAUUCACAUACCCUAGAUUCUUAAAACUCAUUCAACAUAUCAUUUUAUCUAUAUGUGUAUCAUCAUAUCAUUUCAUUAAUAUAUCACAUCACUCUCAAUUGUCUCUUUCACUCUUUUGGGAUGUACGUCAACUAUUAGAGUGUCCAUCAAACAUUAUUGCUUACUUAUUUGUAUAUGGAUACUCCUUUCAUAAUAAUAAUAAUAAUAAUAAUAAAGACUUAUUCCAUCAUGUGCAAAAUUGCACAUAUUAAAAAGUUUAAAAUAGAAAUUUUGUAUUGAAACUUGUAUAUUUAAUAUUAAAUAUAAUUUUUUGAAUAAAUAAUAUACGUUGCUCUAAAAAAAAUGAGAAAGCAUAAAUAAAUAAAAAAAAAACUCAAAUGGAAAUAUCAACGGGUCCCAUUAAGCUCCUUAUAAUAAACGGUAGUUUGAAUGGGAUCCGAAGAACCAUUAAUGCAUGCAUAUGUAUGUAGGAGUAUAUGGUAAUUGAAUGAACUUAAAAGGUCAAUUUUGCUUAUAUUUAAAAAUGGAGGGAGUACCUUCCAACAUCUUAAUGCGCCUACUUAAGUCACAAGCUUGUGUUACCAAACUCGACAGUAUACGGUAAUUCUUGCCUAUCAAAAAGGUGUGUAUAGUUCAUGCUAAGUUGGUAUCAAUGGAAAUCAUUUGUUUGUCUCUUAAAAAAAAUACUUUAUUUUUAUUUUUAUUAUAUAUAUAUAUAUAUAUAUAUAUAUAUAUAUAUAUAUAUAUAUAUAUAUAUAUAUAUAUAUAUAUAUUAUAUAUAGAGAGAGAGAGCGCAUUGUAUUGUCCAUGUCAACUUAGAUGUGCUAAUGGUCACUGUAUAGUUUUAUAAAAGGUUUGCAUUUUUUACAAUAUUUCGAAUAGUUAGAAUACAAAUUGGAUCCACUAAAUAAAUUAUAUACACCAAUUACUAUUGUCCAUAUGAAUUUUAUACACCAACAGGUUCAACCUAUGUGUUUAAUGUGCCGUGUCUGAAUGUUUGUAAAUUUCAAGUACUAAUUUUGUUUCCCACCCAUAUAAAAAUUGUGAAUUUUAUCUAAAAAACUAAAUUAUUAAAAAUAUGUAUUAAGAAGUUUUAUGCUACAAAUUUUUUGAUCGGUCAAUUUUCUUAGAUAUCUCAUCCAUAAAUUUAAAACGAGAGAAAGUAAUAACAACGUAAUACACAUGAUAACACAUUCAUUUUUUGGAAACGCUCAUCAUCGUCACAAAAUACAUAGAUUGUUGCAAAUUUAUACAUGAUUUCCACUAAUGAAAUAUCUAUAUUACAUAUAGUGACAAGAUAGAUAAUACACAACAACUUGAAAUUGUUGUGCCUUUUUUUGAUCAACACACAACAUUAUUUAUUCAUGGAAUUUAGUACUAGAAAGAGUGCAUCAUGCAUGAUCAUAGCAUUAUGAUCAGUUUUGAGUAUUGUCCUUAGCUUGCAUGGCAACAAAUUCAGCAUGCGAGCAGCACCUGCCAUGGCAAUGGUAUUGGCAACCACCUCCACCGUGGUUGUAACCGCCUCCACCAUGGUUGUAGCCACCACCAUUGUAACCGCCUCCACCAUGGUUGUAGCCACCACCGUUGUAACCACCUCCACCAUGGUUGUAUCCACCACCAUUGUUGUAUCCACCACCACCGUGGUUGUAACCUCCACCAUUGUUGUAUCCACCCCCACCGUGGUUGUAACCUCCUCCAUUGUAACCACCACCGUGGUUGUAACCUCCACCAUUGUAACCACCACCAUAUUUGGCAUCAUUUACUUCAUUAGUCUUUUCAACAACUUCUGCAAACACAGCACACAUAUAUAUAUAAUAUAUCAUAUAUGAAAAGAAUUUAAAAAAAUAUAGAAAAUGCUCGUGAGAAUAUAUAUAUAUAAAGAAAAAUAAUAUAUAGCUGACCCUUUUUGGCAUCAGAGGUAGUUUCAGUUAAGUCCCUGGCUGAGACUUCUGAAGAAAUAAGAAGAACCAUAGCCAAGAGGCCUAGGAUGAGGAUUGCCUUUUUCGAAUCCAUUGUUCAAUAUCUGUUCAAAUGUAAUAUUUGGUAGUGAACGAUGAGAAAACUAGUAAGAAGUAUGCUCUAUAUAUAAUGGAGGGAAGGAGAGGGAGAUGUAAGGACCUUUACUUGGUAGUUGGGAAGGUAGCUAGUGAGUAUAAAUUCAAUCUUAUCUAUAAAUUUUGAAAUAUUGUUUGGUAAUUUUGAUACUAUUCAUAAUCUAUACUAUGUACAACAAAAAUGCAUGGUUUUAGGAUGAUUUUUUCACUUUCAAUUAUACUCUUACAAAAUUGCCUAUAAAAAUGUUAUAUUAUUGACGUCAUUUAAAAAUAUAUGAAUUUAUACUAUAUUUGUUAUAGGGUAAAAUAUGCUUUUCAUCCCUGCAAUUAUAGGCCGUUUGAUUUUUCAUCCCUGAGCUUACUAAUCCUCCCAUUUUGCCCUUGUAAUUACUAAUCAUUUGAAAGUUCGUCCCUCUUCCCAGAUAAUCACUGCCACAUCAUCAAAUUAGCAAAAUGGCAUGGGAAUUGACAAAAAUACCCCUGAUCUAUUUUUAAAAUUCUGAAAAUUGUUUUUAUAAAUUAAAAAAUCUGAAAAUAAUUUUAAAAAAUAAAAAAAUUAUAAAAAUAUUUUGAAAAUAACUUUUUCGAAAAAAAAUGAAAUAAUUUUUCACAUAAUUUUAAAAAAUAUAUAAUCAGAUUUUUUCGAAAUUAAUAUUCUGAAUUUUAAAAAAAUCUUUAAAAAAAAUCAGAUUUUUUAAUAAUUUUCGAAAUUAUAUAUUCAGAUUUUAAAAAAUUAUAUAAUUUUAUAUUUUUUUCAUAUUUCAAAAAAUUAUAUUUUUUUAAUUUUUUAAAAUUAUUUUCAGAUUUUUAAAUUUUUAAAAAUAAGUCAGGGGUAUUUUUGUCAAUUCCCAUGCCAUUUUGCUAAUUUGAUGACGUGGCAGUGAUUAUCCGGGGAGAGGGACGAACUUUCAAAUGAUUAGUAAUUACAGGGGCAAAAUGGGAGGAUUAGUAAGCUCAUGGAUGAAAAAUCAAACGGCCUAUAAUUGCAGGGAUGAAAAGCAUAUUUUACCCUUUGUUAUAUUAUAGGUGUCAUCGGAAAAUAAAAUUGAAGUUUAUCACAAUAUAAAAAUACAAAAUAUCUAUAAUUUUAAUUUUAAAUACAAUCAAAAUUUCAUAUAACUGUCGUUUGAAUGUCUUAACACAAUAAAAAUAGUGGACAAACUAACAUGAGAUAUCUUUCAAACGAAAGGGAAUAGUAAAAAUCGGAGGCUAUGAAAGUGAAGUAGGAUUAUAUUUGCAAUUGGCUGAAAGCGACAAACUAUUGAAAGAAUACUACUGGUGGUUCAUAACUGCUAUCUCAUCUCAUGGAGAUACAUAGAUCCCAACUAAAUAAAAGAAUUGGCAAGAGAGUACUCUCUCCGAUUUUUAUCAUAAAAAAAAAUAUUGAAAAAACAUCAAAUUCAAUGCAAUCAUUAAUUAAUGUAACUUUUUGAAUAUUUUUAAAAAAGAUGUUAUUGGUCUUUAAUUUGAGGUGGUAUGAGUAUUCUUAUCGUCCUUCGGUAGGAGCGUCAGGUUGUUUAUAAACUGUGCGGGGUUGUUUUUGUUGGAGGUGUAGUCAUCGUACAAUUUUGAGCAUGUUCUGGAUCCCAUGGUAUGUUUCUUACUAAUAAUAUAUAAUUACAAAUUUUAUUUGGCAAAUAUAUAUGAUCCAUGUGAUAAUGUAGAUAAGAAAUUUUUAUUUGACAAGUUAUUUGCAAGUCUUGGUGUAUGGGAGGGGAAGAACUUUUGUGUGUGUGGUGAUUUUAAUGUGGUUCGGUGUAUGGAAGAAAGGAAAUCAAUUAGGGAAGUAGUACAUUAUGAAGACAUUGAUCCUUUUACUAGAUUUAUUGAGGAGAAUUUCUUAGUUGGUCUCCCUCUUGGGGGUCAUGCAUAUACUCGGUAUUAGAGAGACGGUAGAAACAUGAGCCACCUGGAUAGAUUCCUGUUAUCUGGAGCUUGGUGUUUGACUUAGACUAAAUGUUUUCAGAUGGCUCAAAUUAGAGGUUAUCAGAUCAUUAUCCUAUUGUGUUGUUUCGUUGAUGACAAAAUUGGGGGCCCAAACAACCGCAUAUGUUGAAGUGUUGGUUAGAGAUUCCAAGUACUAAGUAGUUUGUUUGUGAUCAGUGGAGGUCUUUUCAGGUUGAUGGUUUGGGUGGUUACGUGCUUAAGGAGAAGUUUAAGUUGAUCAAAUCGGCGCUUAAACUAUAGAAUAAUAAUCAUGUUCAAAAUUUGUCAGGGAGGAUUUCUGCUAUUAAGGAGAGAAUAGCUUUGUUAGAUUGUAAAGGGGAAAUUGAGUUGUUUUCGGAUGCGAGUCUGAGGAGUUACGUGGGCUGAUGGGUGAUUUAUAGUUUUUAUCUCGUAUAAAUACUAGUAUUUGUUGGCAAUAAUCUAGGCUACUUUUGCUAAAAGAAAGAGAUUCGAACUAUAAGUUUUUUCAUGGCAUUACUUCUAGUCAUCAUCGGCAGGGCAAUAAUCUUAAUUCUAUUAUUGUUGAAGGCGCUCGGGUGGAAGGAGUGUCUAAUGUGUGUACUGCAAUUUUUUCUCAUUUUGUGGCUCAUUUUAAGGCGGGUAAUGUUGAUAGACCACUUGUGGAUGAUCUUCAUUUUCAUACUAUAUUGCCUAUGGAUGGAGUGAAUUUGAUUAAGGAUUUUAGUCUAGAGGAAGGGAAAGUUGCAGUCUGGGAUUGUGACAGUUUUAAAAAUUCUGGGCCCGGAUGACAUUAAUUUUAGUUUUAUAAAGGAGUUUUGGCCUGAAUUAAAAGGUGAUCUCAUGAGGUUCAUUUCAGAGUUUCACCGCAAUAUAAGAUUAACGAAAGAUAUUAAAUGUACCUUAUCUUCUCCUUUUUAUCAUCUUUAUUCACUUUGUAUUUUAAUAUCUUGUUAUUGUCUCUCUUCACUCUCACUUGGUAUGUGUAUAUAUGUUUAGAUUAACUAAUUUCUCAAUAACUUAUUAAUUUUUUUUGUUUAUGUGUUUGGUGUGAAAGAAGGACAUCAAGUAUAGAUAGGUUUUUAUUUUUAUUUUUGAAAGAUCAAGUAUAGAUAGGUUGAAACUGAGUAAUCGAGCAAACUUUCGUAUGGUAGCUCAUAUGAAAAAUUAAGCGUUUAAAACAAAUGUAGCAAUAAAAAAAAAAAUUGACUUGAAGUCAUCAAAGAGAUUUUUUUUGACACAUAGUCAUCAAAGAGAUAGAUCUAUCGAGCAAUGAUAUAUAGUGUCACAUGAACAUGUUUUUUAAACUUCACAUUCUAACUUGCAUAUAUUUAUUUUGAUUCCUUACAAAAUGGUUUAUAUCUCCGAUAUGCAAUGUGUAGAUCCCUUGGACGGUUGCAGGAGCAGAACAAUGUUUCAAGUCUAUUUAUAAUAACAAAACAACCCAAACAAAAAUUAUAAGAAAAAAAAUUAUAUAUUCAUAGGGGUCGUAGGCGUAUUUGAAUCUAGGUUUGCAUAUAUACAUUAGGCUUAAAUAUAUUUUUAGUCUUUUAUCUUUUACAACAAAUGUAUUUUGGUUAUUUAUCUUAUUUUGGUCCUUUUUUGUCAAAAAAAAAAAAUAUUUUUUCUCUAUUUUUUAAAAAUUGGUAUCUUUUUAAAAAUUAGAGAAAGUUGAAAACUAUAAAUCCACGUGGCUUCCGGUUUGUCAAUUGUAUUGUAGCAAUCUAAUCUCCUCUAAAGGAGUGCGUCAAAUCCUUUUUUUAAAAGGACGUCUCAAUAAAAUCUCCUUCUAAUAUUUAUGUUCUUGUUUUCGAUUUCAACAAUCUUUUUCACUAUUCCGAACAAACAACAGUGUCUUUCCUUCUUUUUUAUCAAGUAGUAUAGUGACUAAAAUUUAUAUUUUUUAAGGUGAAUGAGUUGAGUGUCUAGAGUUAGAACUCUAACAUCUGCAUAUAAUAAUGUCUGUCUCUGGUAACUAAACUAAUUUCCUUUUCUAAAACCAAAAGCCUAAAAUUUUCCUUAAAGCCUAAACUAUUCACCUUAAAUAUAAAUUUUAGUCAUUCACCUUGAAAAAUAUAAAUUUUAGGCUUUUCUCAUGCCACGUAUUAAAAUUCUGUCACUGAUGUUAUAAUUUAUGAUUAAAAGACUAAAUCCUAAAUCUUUUUAAAAAUAUAAAUAAAUUACCAAAAUAUGAUAAAAUUAAGAUAAAGCAUCAAAAUGUAUUUUUAAUAAAAGAUAAAAGACUGAAAAUAUAUUUAAGUCAACAUGUUAAGGGAGGAAGGGACCAUGGGGACCCUCGACUACCCUCCCUAUGUCCUUUGUCCUUACUGCUCAUGUCACAAUAACAAGUAAAUGAUUUUUAAGAUAUUUUGAAUAUUCAACUGAUGUACUUGUGCUAAAUUAAAUUGCCAGCAACAAACGAUAAUGAGAGUCACCCACUUAGUUCAGUUUUUCUUUUUCAUCAAAUCUAACAAAAUUUAUGCAUUAAAUGUUUCUCUAUUUUCUUCUAUAGGUACAAAUUUGCAGUUAUGAGCAUUUAAUGUUAGCAAAAAUAUAUCCAAAUAGCAUUGCAAUUUUUGAAAAAUAUUAUGAUUCACAUGAUCUACUCAUCCAAACAAUGAUAACAAUUUUUUUUUUAAAACAUUGUUGCCGACUCUAUUAUGAUGUUACUCCCUCCGUUCCUUUAUACAUGUCAUUUUAUAUAAUUUUUUUGUUUCUAAUUAAGUGUCAUUUUCAAAGUUCAAUGUAACAUUAAAUGUUGUUUUUCUUAUAAUGCCCUUAGUAAUUUAUUGCAGAGAGAUAAAUUUAAGAAAUAUAAUAUUAAAUAAUUAAGGAUAUUAUAGGCAAACCAUAAGUUAUUGUAUCAAAAGUAGUGAAAUACAUUUAAUGUUUUGGUUUGUGUAAAAAGUCAAAAUAUGAUAAUUAAAAAGGAACGGAGGGAGUAUGAUUUAGUGAUAAGUAAGUGGCAUGCUUGGCAAUGUCUAAUUUGACACAAUUUUUGGCAUUAAAAUUUAUGAGUUAGACUAACAAAUACUUUUAGGGUACUUGUUAAAGAUUCAAAAAUAAAAAUAAUUGAAUAUACAAUUUUUAAGAUUAUUAAAAUUUCACUUUAAAUUUCUAAGCAAAUGUCAUAAGGACACUUGUUAACAUCUUACAAAAUUCAUUUGUAGUCAAACUAGUACAAAUAACAUUUCCAUCGAAUGAGAAUCAACUCCAAAAUUUCACGGUGAUCGUUGUACUUUAUUUAUACUUUUGUACUCCAACAACUUUUCUAUAUUUAUAUAUAAUUAAAAUGAAUUUUGAUUGUUAUACAUUUAAAAAAAAUUAUUCUAAACUAUCUAAAUAGUAUAAAUUGAUAAGAAUCAAACAAGCAUGUAUUCAAACAUAAAUCAAGUUACUUUCAACUCAAUUUUAAUCAAAAAUCAAUUCUACAAAACUCAAUUUUCACCCUCACAAAGCUAAACCCACACUUUAAUGACCUAAACCAUAAAGAUACCUUGAAAUAUCUGCUCAAUGCUAUAUGGAAAUAAAAUAACAAACGUAACAAUGAAAAUUGAAAGCCACACAAAUGUUUAGUGUCUCUUGGGCAAGACGAAAAUACCAAAUUAAAUCCUCUCAUUUCUUCUUAUAACUCAAUUUAUAAUAAAUUAUGGAGAAUGUUAACUAUUGUCUCAAAAACAUUGGUUAAACAUCUAAAAUAAUAAGUUUUCAUAAAAAAGUUGUGUAAACAUUAUUUGAUCAAAAGUAACAUCUUAUAUUUUCAAAACAAAAUUUCUAUUUGUAGAUUCAUUAACCAUUAACCGGAAGACACUGGUUAGAAAGACCCAUAAAUUAUUUAUGAGAUGUAAUGCUAACCGUUAAGGAUACUAGAAAAUGAAGUUAUUACUUAAUUAUAUUUUUUUUUUACUUUUUAUGGAUUAAUUUCACAAUUUUAAUUCAAUUAAUACUAUAUAAUUUCCUUCUUUAGUUUCUUUAACUACUUUCUCAAGGACACUGAUUAACAUUUCCUUUAUAAUAAUGAUCGAUGAACUAUACGUGUUGUAACUUUUUAAUUUUUUUUACAAAUAUACCUUUAAUGGAAGUUGUGAAACAUUAAAUACAUUCACUAAUAAUAGAAAUACAAUUAUUAAAUAAGGGGUAGAAAAGUCUUUUAAGCAAUAACUAUGUGACAUUUUCUUUUAAAAAUGACCAAUUUUUUUUUUUUAAAAAAACUUUCUUAUAUUAAGGACCAAAGGGACUAAAUUCAUCCAUUGUAGUCAAUUUAUCUAUAAAUGAGUGUUUUUUGAACAACCAUUUAAUUAAACACUUAUAAAGCAACCAUAAUUUACAAAAAAAAUAUUUACACAAAAACUAAAGCAAUAUAAAAAUGAAAUAAAAAAUAAUGUUAAUAUAUGAAAAAUUUAUCAUAAAAUGAAUAUUCAAAUUUCAUUUCUCUUAUCUAACCAAUCUUCCUUUUCCUUAUAUGAAAGUUACAAAGCCGCCACAAAAGACUUUCCUUCAAUCAUUGUAAGGAUAACUCAUUCAGUACGUGGACAUGGUCCUCGAAUUCAAUCAUGUGGAACCAUCCAUAGGCAUAGCCAUAAAUAUUUAGAGGUUCAUGUUUCCUUCAUCAAUGGCAAUUUUAGCAUAUGAUAAUGAUUGAUGUCUUUAUAGGAGUGUUUUCGAUCAACCCACAAAUCUUGUGCUUAUAGAUACUCUUGUUUAAAGAGUUGUCUAGAACCAAAUAUUUUUAACAAAAUUCAAUAUGGUAAGUUACUAUUAUUAUAAAACUUAUUUAAGUUGGAUUGAGUAUAUAAUGAAAUAAAAUCAUUUGAGAAAAAUUAUUUGUCUCAAAAUACUUUUUUUUUUUGUAGGGAUUUGUCUCACAAUACUUAAAGCCACUAAGUAGUAACCAUUGUUUUUAUCAUGAAUUUAUUUUGUGAUUUUUUAUACAUAAUUUUAUUAAAAUUGAGGUGUUAUAAAUAUUUUUAUGAGGUCUUACAAUAAAAUGACAAAUCAUUUGGAAGGCCUCAAGUUUGAAUCAUAGCUGAACAAUUUUUAAUCAUGCCUUUUCUACUUUAUAAGUGAACUUGGGUCAGUAUUUUUUUUUUCAUAAAGAUAAUAAGAUUGUUACUAGCAUUUAAACUAUUACCCGCAUAUAAAUUACGAAAAAUAGUUUUUAUAGAAUUUUAAUUACAAUUAUAUUGAUCUUGAUUAAAAUUAUAGGUAUAGAUAAUAGAUAUUUUUCAAUUUUAUAUUGUAACAAACUAUAAUUAUCUUUUUCAAUGUUAACAAAAAUAUAAUAAAUUUAUUUUUAUUUUUUUGAAUGAUUUCAACAAAAUAGUAUUUUUAUAAUCAAAUUUGUUUAAGAAUAUAAUUGAAAAGAAAAAAUAUGCAUAAAACGGCUUAUUUUUUUUGACUGGUGCUAGUCACACCCCAAAAAAAACAAGUUACACCCCAGAAUGACUAAUAUACCCCUAAGUUGAACAUAAGUAAACUAAAUUUACAUUAACCUAAAUUGAACAUAAGUAAACUUAAUUUACAUUGAACAUAAGUAAACUUAAUUUACAUUGAACAUAAGUAAACUAAAUUUACAUUAACCUAAAUUGAAUAAGUAAACUGAAUUUACAUACUGAACAUAAGUAAACUUAAUUUACAUUAACCUAGAUUGAGUAAACUGAAUUUACACUAACCUCUUAUAUCUAGAUUGAACGUAAGUAAACUAAAUUUACAUUAACCUAGAUUGAACAUAAGUAAACUAAAUUUACAUUGACAUAAGUAAACUAAAUUUACAUUAACCUAAAUUGAACAUAAGUAAACUGAAUUUACAUUAACCUAGAUUGAACAUAAGUAAACUGAAUUUACAUUAACCUAGAUUGAACAUAAGUAAACUUAAUUUACAUUAACUUAGAUUGAGUAAACUGAGUUUACACUAACCUCUUAUAUACAUGUAAACUGAAUUUACACUAAUCUAGAUUGAACGUAAAGUUAACUAAAUUUACAUUAACCUAGAUUGAACAUAAUAAGUAAACUUAAUUUACAUUGACAUAAGUAAACUAAAUUUACAUUAACCUAAAUUGAACAUAAGUAAACUUAAUUUACACUAACCUAAAUUGAACAUAUCUCAUACCAAAACAAACAAUAAACAAAUAGAAACUCAUUGAAAAUGAAAUUCAUGAAAUUCACUAAUCUUUAUGAAUAUAGUACAAAUCAAUAACAAAGAUGUUGAUUCAAAUAUUGGUUGCACAUCUAUGGUGAUUUGUGGAUGAAAGGGGGUAAGGGUUCAGAAUGAUCAUAAAAGAUGGAUUUUUAAAAAUUUACAUGAAAAGGACAAUUUUGGUAUUAUUGUAAAAAUUUAAAUAAAUUUAGGUGUAACUAAUUUUUUUUGGGGUGUGACUAGCACCAGUCAUUUUUUUUUAUAGAUAUAGAGUAACACUUGUUUUGCAAAAUAAUAUAGUACACAUUCUCCAUAAUUAUAAACAUAAUUUCUUCUUAAAGAUAAUUUCUUGUUUUGCAAAAUAAUUUCCUGUUGGUAAAAAAAAAAUAAACAUAAUUUAUUUUUAAGAUUCAUUGAAUAACUGUUUUUUUUAAAAAAACUUUAUUAGAUGAUUAUUGUAUCUGAUCUAUAUAAAUAAAAUACAUUGAUUAUUUAAUCAAUAUGAAAAAAAAAAAAAAAAUUAACUUAUAAUAUUGACGGGAUGAGAAUUUUCAGUUGAUUUUAUUGAUUGAUGCUAUCUAUAUUUAGACCAGAGAAGGGUCUAGUUGUUGCCCCGGCAACUAAUAGACCACUCAUAUGUGAUAACAGGGAAGUGAGAAGAAUUCACAAAAUACUACACGUGUCCUUUGGUGUCCCCAGUCAAUUAAUUCUUCCACAUUGACACUUUGACAAUAUUGAGGCAUUAAAAGCAAUGGAUUUUUCCUUAAAAAAAAUGUAGGGUUAAUUAAAUUUUGACUAAAGUGCAUUUUUCCACCCCUAACUUUAAAAAACUUACAAUUUUGACCUCUUAAGUACAAAAACUAUAAUUUUGGCCCCCUAAGAUUUAACCCCUUUGCAACUUUGAUCAUUUUUGUCAAUUUUGACCGGUCAAUGCCUAUAUGGCAUGCCACGGAUGUAAUUAAUGAAUUAAAAAUUAAAAAAACCAUAUAAUCAUUUUUUAAAUCAAAUUAAUGAAAAAUGAAAUUAAAAAAAAAAAAAUAGGAUAAAAAUUAAAAAUAAAAUUCAAAUCCCUCAAUCUUUUAUUUCUUCUUCUUCAUCAUCUCUUCCUCUCAAAACACCCACUGUCACUCUCCUCCGACCACCAUCGGCGGUGACACCUCCUCCUUCUUAUUCAACAAUGCCUCUAUCGCAGCCGUCAUCCAACUUCUUUUUGUGGUGUUUCUUUUUUCUACCCAAUUUGGUUUCUUCUGUUGGUUUUUUAUUUUACCUGCUUUUAAACUUUUGUUUGUUUUUGUAUCUUUUGUAAGAAAAAUUAAAUUUCCAUAACUCUUAUUAAUUAUCUUAAAUACAAAAGAUGAAAAAAUGAGAGAAGAGAACAAUGAAACAUGUAGCACCGCUAGCUAUGUAAGAAUAGUAAUGUCGGGAAUUGUUGGUGAAAAAGUUUGUGUGUGGAAUUGGAAAUAUAACAGUAGAUUUGGAUGUGUUCCAGCCUCUAUCAUCACAGCCGCUUACCUCCACUACAUCAGCCACCAUCUCCAACUUGAGAAUCUUCUUCACUCAUGUUUCAAGGUCUUUUUUCAUUUAUUAAUUCAUGAGCUUAAUUUCACUACAACUUACAAAACGUUUGAUCAGUUAUAUAGUAUAUAUCUUCAUGAAAAUGGACUAGAACAAAAAGAACAAGAAAGUGAAGAGUUUGUAGAUGAUAUGUGUUGGUGAUGAGGAUGAAUGGUGAUAAUGAAUAUUAGAAGAUGAUGGAUGGUGGUACUUGUGAUGGGGGAAGAUGAUAUGUGCCUCUCCUUCUUCAUCUGCUUGUAUUUUUAUUUUAUUUUUCCUGAUUUUUUUAAUUUUUUAAUUUUAUUUUUCAUUUAUUUAAUUUAAAAAAUGAUUAUAUGAUUUUUUAAUUUUUUUAAUUUAUUAAUUACACACGUGGCAUGCCACGUAGGCAUUGACCGGUCAAAAUUGACAAAAAGGAUCAAAGUUGCAAAGGGACUAAAUCUUAGGGGACCAAAAUUGUAGUUUUUGUACUUAGGGGGUCAAAAUUGCAAGUUUUUAAAAGUUAGGGGGGAAAAAGUGCACUUCAGCCUUAAAUUUUUUAUCCUAUAAAUAGCUGCAGUUUUGUUUUUAGUCCUUAUAAAAAUAAAUUACAUUUUUUAGUCCCUAUUUUUCGUUAGCGCUUUUAGUUCCUAUAAAAUUUUUUGUCAGCAUUUUUAGACCCUAUCAAAAAUUUCCAUCAACAUUUUUGGUCUCUAAAAUGCUUAGGGAAAAUUUCACAGGGACUAAAAAGUGUGAUUUUAUUUUAUAGGAACUAAAAUCAAAACCGUGAAUAUUUAUAGGGGUUAAGAACUUAAUUAACCCAAAAAUGUAAUCGAUUUUUAUGAUUGAAAUCAAUGUUCACGGGACACUCUUUAAGCAUUUUUAAUAAAGAAAUUAUUCUUUAAAAAAGUUCAAGACUUCAAUUUUCAAUGCAAUAAAUGUACAAAACUUUCGUAAAAUCUUACCACUUUGAGUGCUUAACUAGUCUGUCAGGGACACUCGUUAACAUUACCCUUAAAAUUAACAUUGCUUUGAUUAUUUUAGUUCAAUUUGAAGAAACAUGGUAAAUACACAUAGAUAUCAGAGGUUCGAAGCUUGUAUAAUAAAAAUAGGGAAAUGUUAACAAAUGCCCUUGGUUAAUAAGGGUCUUGCUAACAAGUGCUAUAAGAACAUUGUUUAAGGAACCCACAAAAAGAAAUUAUGUAUUGAAAAUACAAAUCAAACAUAUGUUAAAGUCAUAACUGUACACUUUCCAGUGCAAUUGUAUGUCGUUUUGGAAAAAAAAUUUGUCCCAAAUUGUAUGUCGUUUUACAAUACCAAUGAAGCAUUAAUGUUAUUUUUUCUAUUAUAUCCUUAAUUAUUUACUACUUUCUCUUCUUCCAAGUCAUUCAUUUAUCUUUCCCAUAUCAUUUACUAAGGACAAUUUUGUAAAACAAUUCAUAAUAUUCAUUUUUCACACAAAAUUAAUUACAUUUCUUAAUAUGUGUGAAAUGCUCAAAACGUCAUACAAUUUGGGACGGAGGGAGUAUAAUAAUACAGAUUUAAAUAUUCCAAAUAAGUUUACUUAUGAAAAUUAUUAGUAGAAAUAUAGAAGAUAAAAUUAUCAUUGAUACAUAAAUAUAUUUAUCUUGUUUUGGCACUUUUAGUCUCUAUUGUGACUAAAUAAAGAGUUAUGUUAACAAUGAAAAAUUGUCAAGAUAAGAUUCGUAAAAGUAUAUUUUACUUUUUCUAUAUAUCUGUCCCCCUCAUAAAAUUUUGACUUGCUUUGCCACUCUUAUGGCUCUUCGUUAAUAAGAAUAGUAGCAACCUAAUUUGAAAUUAUAUUAUAAAGAUUGUGUGAAGCAUAAGAUAGAAAUGUUCGUGCAAGAGUAUGAGUGCUACAAUUUGUUUGAUGCCUAGUCAACACAACUUUGUACCUGUUGUGAUUCAUGAGAAUAAUUUUACAAUCUUGGAAGAUCAUACCGUACUUUGAGUGAUUUAAUUUAUUUUUGUUAUUAUCAUCAACCACCAUUUUGCAGCGUUUCUAAUACCAUGAAGUGAUGCUCUAACGAGUUCAACCAUUCAAGUUCACACAACAAACUCCAACAUUUCAAAGGACAAGCAUACAUGUUUCUUGCUUUUUCUCCCAGAGUUCAAGAUUGUGUUUCAUGCUUAUUCUCGCAAAGUUCAAGAUUGUGUUUCUUCUAUAAGCUCCAAGCAGACAUGGCAAAGUUCACUAAUUAAUUUUGACUCAUCUGUUUCCAUAAUCUAGCAACACAUCAUUGAAGCCUGCGGUAUCUUCCAUUAAUCCUUCCAACGAAGGACACAAGUUCAAUUUUCGCCAACAAAUUAACACCAUCAACAUAAGAACAAAUGUCAAUUAUAUUCAGUGUAGGAUUGACAAACCACGCUAUUUGACUGACAUUCAAUACACUUGCUAGUUAGCCUCUGUCAAUCAGGUAGUUAAUCCCUCCCAAGUAUUAGUGUGUAAUUCAAACCUUAAUCAUGUUUGUUUGUUAGUUAGGGUUAGUUACUUGUCUCUCAAGUAACUAACUGAUUUACCUAUAUUUUAGCUAGUUAGUUACUUUCUGUUUGUUACUUGAUACACAAGUAACAGUGAACAUCUUUGUAUAUAUAUAGUGUAUCCCAUUAUGAAUAAACAAUGCAAUUUUUCACAAUUCAUUAAUUCUCUUAAUUUUUCAAUCUAUUAUUCUCUCUAUCACCAAACUGUUUCUUCUAAUCCAAGUCAUCAACACAGAAACCCUAACAAAAACUGUUAUCCCCUAACACCAAGAGGCCACAUAAAAUGUUUAACCUUCGGAGGGAUGGGAAGUGACCACAUCUUGUUCCAAUCUCUUUCCCGUUUCUAAUUAAUCAUCCCUAUUUAUGAUAAUGUCAACACAAACUCAAUAAGCACUUUUGACUAAAUAUAGACCUUUUCUUGACGAAUCUUCAUAUUAUUGCAUCCUUUCUUGCAAGAUUAGUUCACGGAAUGUUGAGAACUUCAUGUACAUCUAUCUCACUAAAUAAAUUCCAAAGAAGGUUAGUAUUCAAACUUCUAGAGUUUGUAUCAAUAGGUGUACUAAAUUUGUAUGUAGCUAAAAAAUUGGUACAUACAGUAGAUAUAUAUAACAUAACCCUCCCUUCGACAAUAUUCUUUUUUUUUUGCUAAGCAGUGAGAAAGACAAACAUCAGGAGGUAACACCGACGUCCCAAUUAGGUUGACAUCCUGGAAAACCACCGUCCUCUGUCCGCUAAACUCUAAAAAUUUAUUAAUAAAGAGAAAAAAUAUAUACAAGAAGAGGGGAGACUAGACCAAAACCCUAAAAAAAAAAACAAAAAUAUAGGAUUAUGUUGACAUUGUUGAGAAGACCAAAUUCUACAUCAAACAAAGAUAGGAUUAUGUCCUAAAAGACACUCCCAAAAAAUCCCUAUUAAACAGGUAUAUAGCUUUGAAAAGAGUGUAAUAUUUUUUCAAUCAUCUUUUCUGCAAAGGAAUGAUGUAAUAGAAAUACACUAAUACAAUAAGAAGGGAUAGCUUGAGCAACUGAUUUAAUGAACUCUCCUUUCCUGUUCGAGAGAGCUUCUUACUAUUCCAACAAGAAUUAAGCUUCCACAACCGAUUCUUAAUGUAGUUAAAGAUCGAUUUUUCGCUUCUACCUAUCAUAGAUUGGAGCCCAAGAUAUUUUCCGGAGCCCAUGCACUUUGGCACUUGUAAAAUAUUAGAGAGCGUGGAGGAAUAUUUCUACUAAAGAAAAUCUCAUAUUUUUACUUCUUAAUCAUUUGCCCAUAAGUAUUUGCAUAUCUAUCUAAGAUUCCUUUUAGUAUAUGUGUUUCAAUUUCAUUGGCUCUAAAAAAUAAGUUGCCAUUUGCCCAAAAAAAAACAUGACAAAUAGUAGGAACUCAUCAUAUUACCUUCACUCCACGGACCAUUCCUUUUUGCAUUUUUAUUAGUGUCGCCAUUCCUUCCGAACACAUAAUAAAAAGAAAAUACGAUAAAAACUCACCCUAUCUUGACCCUCUUUCUAAGUAAGCUAGUAGAGUUUCAAGUUAGAAAUUACAUUCCAUUGAAUAAUAUAUUUAGGAUUAAGAUUUUUGUGAAUAAUAUUCCUACUCGUAUGUAUGUUUGAUAAAAAUUUAGAGUUUGUUCAGAUGGUUGUAAAUUUUUGGUUUUUAUUAUUGAAAAUCCAUUUCAAAGCCGAAACUUGAUUGUGCAAAAUUAGAUUCAUUUUGUAGCCAAUUAUUUUUUGGAAAAUAUGGUUACUAUGAAGGAUGAAUCCUCAAAAACAAAGAAUGAGACCAACCUCUACCAUGAUUUCCACCAAAUCCAUAGUUGUUGGAGUAGUCGAGUGUCCAUUCUUAAGAAAUUGUAUUCAAGCUUGACCAGGUUUUUAUUAUGGGUGAUCAAACAAACACAAAAGCAUAAAGGGACAUGAUUUCAAUCAAAUUAUGUAAAAAGUUCUGUCCAUUUUUACGGAGUUUAAGUUAUGAUCAAGAAAAAAAAGGUUGACGGAAGAAGCCAACAAUUACAAAUCGUAUCGUGUAGAGGAUGAAUAGGGUAGAGCCUAGCCGUUUUUUUGAAUUUAUUUUAAAUAAUAAUUCAAUUAAAUUGAUUUGAUAUGACAUGGAGAAAACAAGAAUUAUAAUUGGAUGACACUCUAAAGUGAUUUUAGAGUGUCAAUGCAUAUCCAUUUUUCCCUAGUAACAGACACUAUGUCAAGUUCGAUUUUCACUUUCAUAUUUCUAAUUUUAAUACUCACUUAACUUAAUAACAACGGAAAUUUAGAAUAUUUACAAGAACAAAACAAAUUUAACCCAAAAUUUUAUAUAACACACCUUUUUUUUUAUAUUGGUUGAAAUUUCACAAACCACAGAAUAUUGUGUGGGAUAUAUAUGGAUUUUAAUUUAGAUUAGCGUAGUCAAAUUUAAUUUUGUAAAUUUGUCCAAAAAAAAAAUUAAUUUUUUCGUAAAUACUCAAAUUAAUUUAAUGUCUGAAUAUUGAAAUAUACCGUUAAUCAUUUAUAUUAAUGAAAAACAUUUAUUUUAUUUGUAUGUUUUUUUAUUGGACCGAUGUGGAAGAGACUUGUUCUAAAAUUUGCUCAUUGUUCGAUUUAUGAUUAGAGUCGUAUAUAUUGUAUCCAGUGUUAUCUUUCAUGUGUUUAUAAUGCAUGUGCUGAAAAAAUUUAAUAACAAUUCAUGGUGGCUCUAAGAACUCGCGCCUAGCUUCCCCAUGAAGUCUGUUGAGCCAUCCACCUUCCUCAAAGUAUAGGUUUAGUCAUAUACAAGGUUUUAAAAAAUGGGCUGUUAUCGGGAAAAAUUCCGUGACAAUAAGGUAUAGGUAGCCGAUGUUAUCGUUUUUUACCGUUUUUAUAGAGUGAACAAAAAUCACAACGAAACGUCGUUUCAACUGCGAUGAAACACCAUUGCGGCCGCAAGAAAUGUCGUUUAUGACAAUUGUCAUAGAAUAUGGAUAUUUUUUCAAUUAAGAUAGAUGAAAAUCAUAUUUUUAGUACAUAUUUAAUCAUAAUGUUGGUUCCUCAUCUAGUUUAGAACUCAAAAUCUAUCUCUAGUUUAUGUUAUUUACUUUACUAUCAUCAUUUAAGAAUUUUGCAAUGUUAUGAUUAAUUCACACCGUGACAACCGUAAUCCGUAGUGCAACAUCCGUAACAGUUGAAAUCGCAAAAUCCUAUACGCGAUCGCGAUCGCGUCCGUUAUUUAAAACAUUGGUCAUAUAUAUGUUUAUUGUUUCUAUUUUAUAUAUAGAUAUAUGAUUAUAAUUUUAUAAGGUUAGGGCAUAAAUUAAGGAACAAAAAGUAGAAGUUUCUCCUUGAAAAUUGAGCAUUCAAUCUCUUGAAAGUUUCAAAAGUUAUUUUAUCAACAAAAAAAUUUAGGGUCAUGUUAACUUGUGCCCUAAGGGCACAAAUAGGGUACAAGUUAAUAAACUAAAAAUGGAAUAAAAAGACAACUUUAGCAUUGAAAAUAUAAAUUUUCAAACUUUUAAUACAAUGAAUGUACAAUUCCCAAGAAAAAGUUUCUAUGUUUAAUUUUCAAAUUUUUAAUACAAUGAAUGUAUAAUUUCCCAAAAAUUUAUUACUUAAUUCUAUUUUAAGUUCCUUAACUUAUGCCCUAACAUGACCCAAUUUAUAAAAGUUUUAUAUUUUAUAUAAGCAUAUUUUUGUUGGGUUACUGGAGGAGCCGAGGGACCGUCCACAUCGAGGCUAGAACAACCACACAAGCAAGAGAGACACCACACUCUUAUCCAAAACCUAAAGGUAAUGUGUUUAUUGGUCCUCUUACUUAUAAGGUGUUCAACCUUUACUCUUUUAUCCGAUGUGGGACAUAUAACUCACACUUGCAAACAACAACAAUUUUUAGAAAUUUUAGUGAAUUUUAUCUAAAAAAUAACAAUAUGUUACAAAUAUGUAUUAAGAAGUUUUAUGUUAUGAAUUUUACUCCCUCAAAAAAAAAAAUGUUAUGAACUUUAUAAUCGGUCAAUUUUCUUAAAAACCAAAUUAAAGUAAUAACAACAAUGAUAUAAUACACAUUCACCACUUCUUGCAAAAGCUCAUCCCCAUCACAGAUACAUAGAUUGAUGCAAAUUUAUACAUGAUUUUCACUCCUGGAAUAUCUUUACUAUAUAGUGACAAGAUAGAUGACAGCAACUGAGAUUGAUGUCUAUCUAUGCAUGCCAUUUUUUAUCAACUCACAAACAUUAUUUAUUCAUGAAAUUUAUUAUUAAGAAAGAGUGCAUCAUAACAUGAUCAUAGCAUUAUGAUCAAUUCUGAGUUUUGUCCUCAGCUUGCACGGCAACAAAUUCAGCAUGUGAGCAGCAAUGGCCAUGGCAAUAGUAAUGGCAACCACCUCCACCAUGGUGAGAACCACCUCCACCGUGAGAACCACCUCCAUAGUAAUGUCCACCACCAUUGUGGUAAUUACCACCACCAUUGUGAUAACCACCACCACCAUAUUUGGCAUCAUUUACUUCAUUAGUCUUUUCCUCAGUUUGGACGGCAACAAAUUCAGCAUAUGAGCAGCAAUGGCCAUGGCAAUAGUAAUGACAACCACCUCCACCGUGGUGAGAACCACCUCCACCGUGGUGAGAACCACCUCCAUAGUAAUGGCCACCGCCAUUGUGGUAAUUACCGCCACCACCAUAUUUGGCAUCGUUUACUUCAUUAGUCUUUUCAACAACCUCUGCAAACAUAAUAUAUAUGAACGAUUACAUUUUAUAUACAUAUAAGAAUGAUCAAAUCACAUCGCUGUAAUGUUUGAAUAUUUUUACAAUGCUCAAAAACUUCUUAUUUGAUACUUAUUUUAUAAAGCUAAACAGUUAAAUGUAUA